CACAGGGAGGUAGUGACAAGAAAUAACAAUACGGGGCUUAAAGUCUUGUAUUGGAUGAUGGGAUCUAAACCCCUUCCAGAGUAUCAAUUGGAGGGCAAGUCUGGUGCCAGCAGCCGCGGUAAUUCCAGCUCCAAUAGCGUAUAUUAAACUUGUUGCAGUUAAAAAGCUCGUAGUUGAACUUCUGCUGUCAGGUUUUCGUUCCUUUCGGGGUUUCGUCAACCUGGUGGCUUUUUUCUGGGUGAAUUUAGCUUCGGCUUAAUUUCCCAGUAUUUUACUUUGAGAAAAUUAGAGUGCUUCAAGCAGGCUUUUGCCGUGAAUACUUCAGCAUGGAAUAAUAAAGUAGGACUUUGGUUCUAUUUUGUUGGUUUCUGAACCAAAGUAAUGGUUAAUAGGAACAGUUGGGGGCAUUCGUAUUUAACUGUCAGAGGUGAAAUUCUU
rnacentral:rRNA from 1 species